rnacentral:rRNA from 1 species
GUAGGUGGCAAGCGUUGUCCGGGAAUUAUUGGGGCGUAAAGCGCGCGCAGGCGGCUCUUUAAGUCUGAUGUGAAAGCCCACGGGCUCAACCGUGGAGGGUCAUUGGAAACUGGAGAACUUGAGUACAGAAGAGGAAAGCGGAAUUCCACGUGUAGCGGUGAAAUGCGUAGAGAUGUGGAGGAACACCAGUGGCGAAGGCGGCUUUCUGGUCUGUAACUGACGCUGAGGCGCGAAAGCGUGGGGAGCAAACAGGAUUAGAUACCCUGGUAGUCCACGCCGUAAACGAUAAGUGCUAAGUGUUAGGGGGUUUCCGCCCCUUAGUGCUGCAGCUAACGCAUUAAGCACUCCGCCUGGGGAGUACGGCCGCAAAGGCUGA